UUUGCAAGGCCUGGCAAAGCAAAGAUAUCUUUAGAACCGAAGUAAGAGUUAGAAAAAUUUAGACAGGAAAAAGCAGACAGCUACUUACCAAGACCAUGGACUUGGAAACAGACCGAAUUGAUUUCAUUUCGGUAUUCAGUUGCUUCAAGUGGUGCUCCAUGUCCUUAGGGAGGCACACACUUUUGGCCAGGUUAAAGGCCAGUUGGUGGUCUUUUUCACCAACGACCGAAUCAGUGACUUUGAUGUUUCGGUCAUUGAAGAUCAGAGGCGGAGCCCACUUCGGAGAUCGGGCUCGGUCAGUUUGUUCAGGUUGGGAGGCAGGUUGAGGACUUUGGGGGACAGUUUCGACUUCGUCAACAAGUUGUUGUUCGGCUGACGUAGAUCGGGCGCGUUUUGAAGGGCGAGACGAAGAGGGCCGUUGUGAAGGAAGGGCCACGACGGCAGGCUGCACCUCAGUAGUUGGUGUUACUUCGGCUCUAGUUAUUGAAGUUAGAAGGGCCCUGACUCUGCUCUUCUUUGCCAUUUCUUCCUCGGCGGUUAAUGGAACAAGUCUUAUCUCGGGCAAAGUGGGGUCCGGCUCCGGUGCUUCCUCGAGAAGAAAAUUGGUUACUUUUGCCUUCCGUCGACCGCUGUAACGGUAGGUCGGUUCGAAAUUUAGAAGCUUGGCCCAAUCUCUUUCUUUAACCCGAAAUGCGGCUCGCAAAACGCCGAGGUUAGGAUAGCUAUACAAGGAGUGGAGAUGGGCGAAAUCUGCAAAAAAAAAA